UACGGGGGGAGCAAGCGUUGUUCGGAAUCACUGGGCGUAAAGGGAGUCUAGGCGGUUUGGUAAGUGGGAUGUGAAAUGCCCGGGCUCACCCCGGGACCUGCAUCCCAAACUGCUGAGCUUGAGUACAGGAGAGGGUGGGGGAAUUCCAGGUGUAGCGGUGAAAUGCGUAGAUAUCUGGAGGAACACCGGUGGCGAAGGCGGCAUCCUGGGUCGGUAUUGACGCUGAGGAGCGAAAGCCAGGGGAGCAAACGGG
rnacentral:rRNA from 1 species